AUGAACUGCAAUAGCAAAUACUGUUCUUCCUCUUGCCACUUUUGGAGAGUGAACAUGUCCACUUAGGAAGGGGUCCAUACACUGACAAAAGGUUUCCUUUUCCUGAUGGGAAUUAUGUGGCACAGAGACAAUUCAGAAGAGCAAGAGCUGUUGUGUCUGGCAUUCUUGUCUUCCAGUAUUUCACCAGAUGACUCCCAUUAAAGAAGGAAGAAAGACAUUCAAGAAAUGGACCCUCUCCUGCCAGAGCCACUGCUCCCUCCAGAGCUCAGCCCUCUACUGUGAUGAAUUACUACUUAAUCCAAGUAAUUUAUUUUCCAGAUUAAUAUUGAACUUGAAUUUAUUGUGAAAUAAAUAAAUAAAUGCAUUAUAGGCUAGAUUUUUU
rnacentral:lncRNA from 1 species